rnacentral:misc_RNA from 1 species
GAACAUGAUUGCUUCUGUGAUAGUACUGAUUGUAGUAGCAGUUGUGUGGUUGCUUUUCAUGGAAGUUCUAUCCACCAAAUUACUCCUCUUCAUGUCUUCUCAACUAUUGCUAGUGGCUUUCAUGUUCGGUAACACUGUCAAGAAAGUUUUUGAAGCUGUAAUAUUUGUGUUUGUGGUUCAUGCCUUCGAUGUUGGUGAUCGUUGUGUUAUU